rnacentral:misc_RNA from 1 species
GGAAGGAUCAUAACAAAUGCAACUUAACAGUUGUUUCACACAUGGCAAUCUUUGACAAAGCACGUUCGUGAGCAACAGGCAUCUUCGCGCGCGCCGUUGGCAACAACACCCGCGCGCGCGGCCGCCGUCUCGCUACCCUCUUUUUAUCAAAAAAACCAACAUCAAAACCCAAUCUCGGAUUUUCCUUGUCCUUUGCGGCGGUUGCUGUUGCAAAACAACAACCACCACGAAGCAAGAAACAAUUUGAAACUUACAAUACGACUCGCAACAAUGGAUAUCUCGGUUCUCGCAACGAUGAAGAACGCAGCGAAAUGCGAAACGUAAUGCGAAUUGCAGAAUUCAGUGAAUCAUCAAAUGUUUGAACGCACACGGCACUCGCGUAAACAGCGCGAGUAGAGAUGGAUGAGGGUCGUUACACCAAGUAUUCUCCUUCUCUUGUGGACAGUUUGCAAAAACCGUUCACAAAGGCUAGGGCUCAAGAAUGAACAUGGGAUUGUUCCCGUCGCCUCCGCCUUUGGUGGUGGCAUGCGGGAUCUCCUGAAACCCAAAAGGCUCUGUUUGUGGAAACACUUUGUCGAUGCUUUUUCGUUCCGUUGGAAAACACACCACCAUUUCACUUUUGUGAAAGGGGCGUGCGGGUGGUCUCCCCUCGUUCACUUCUUUCCCAUUUGCACGGUAGCGUUACCCAACCGUGGAUACUGCCUUUGCAAAAAGGCUUUCCAACAGUUGGUUCUUGUUCGCUUUGCCGUUUUAUUGCGCAAGUGUGGAAAUUCGAGGAGAGACAAAAAAUACCACCAACUCAAUCGGGGAAGAGGCGUCUGGUUUUCAAUAACCGCGACAGUGCUUUACUUUGCCAAACACAAAUGAACCUUGCUUUACCCCAACCCAACACACCUAAUUAUACAAAUGACCUCAUCUCAUCCCAGAGACACCCGCCGAACUUAAGCAUAUUAUUCAGCGGAGGAAAAGAAACUAACAAGGACCCCCUCAGUAACGGCGAGUGAAGCGGGGAGAGCUCAAGUCGAAAAUCUCGCUAGCACGCGCUAGCGCGAAUUGUGGCCUCGAGACGUACAGUCAGCGUGACGAAGGGAAGCAAGUUCGCUGGAACGCGACAUCAAAGAGGGUGACAAUCCCGUAUCUCUUCCCUUUCCAGUCCGUGUACGACGUGCGUUCGCAGAGUCGCGUUGCUUGGGGGUGCAGCGCAAAGUGGGUGGUACACAUCAUCCAAAGCUACAUACGGGCGAGAGACCGAUAGUGCACAAGUAGCGUGAGCGAAAGAUGAAAAGCACUUGGAAACGAGAGUGAAAAAGAGCUUGAAAUUGUUGCGAAGGAAGCAUUGGUGGUUAUAUGUAUUUGGCGGGAGUGGGGCUUUUUAAGCAGGGUUUCACGGAGUGCGAGCAAGAGCUUCAAACCUUGACUUGCAUUUCGGUGGGGCUUUGCUAGAUACUCUCCAUUUUCGCCCGUCAGCAUUGCUUCGACGUCGAGUAAGGAGGUUGGCGCGCAGGUAGCCACGAGCCUGUGACAAACAGGACCUCGUGGAAUUUAUACGUGCGCCAAUUGGAAUAUUCGGGUUGUAGCAAACAUGCAAGAAGCAUGUAUUUUUCGUCGACGAGGAGGUCGCGGGAAUUGUCGAGGCCUGAUUGCACUGCAAUGGGGUCUUGCCCGUUUUUGCCAGCCUACUCCCGAUGCGGGAAAGCGCUGCCGUUUUUUAACGUACACCAGUGACUCGUCUUGAAACACGAAUUAAGGAGUCGCACGUGACAGCGAGUAUUUGCGUGGUUUAAAACGCGAAUGCGAAGUGAAAGCAAAGCGUAGCACUAGUUACGUGAGUUUGGAAGAGUCUUUGAAACACAGGACUCUGCACAAACGGCCGCCGGCAGUGUGCCGAGUGAGCUCGAGCUAUCAUGUGCGGACCCGAAAGAAAGUGAUCUUUGCCUGCACAGGAUGAAGCCAGGCGAAAGCCUGGUGGAGGUCCGCAACGAUGCUGACGUGCAAAUCGCUCGUCGGAUGUGGGUAAAGGGGCGAAAGACUAAUCGAACUUUCUGGUAGCUGGUUCCCUC